CCCCCUGCUCAGUGAGGGAAAGCGGCUCUGCUAGCCCCUCUGCAUCUAGGCCCAGCCCCCACUCCACCUUCAGCCCAGUGGCUGAAGGCUGGGGAAGGCCCUCUGGCUACUCCCAGAGAGGCUGCUCUGGUCAGCUCUGCCGCCACCUGAGAACUGUGAAUAUGGCCUCUGGGUGGGAAUGUGCAAAGGCCAGGCCGCACACUGAUCGUUCCUUCCUGCCCCAGAGACUCCUGCGGUUGAGCUGGGGGACAGAUAUGCCCAUGUACGACAAGCCCAGGGUCUGGGCAUAUAGUGUGAAGGACUCUGGAAGAGCUGCUCAGUGUGCCUGGUUCUCGCGUGGUAAUGAGCCUGAAGAUGUGUGCACUGGAAGAGCUGCCUCAAACCAGGGGCCAGGGGAAGAAGCAUCACUGGGCUCAUCUCUUGCCUGUCGCUGCAGAGCCACAGCCCGACGCUGGAUUUUCGUUGCAGACUUCUUUCCAGUUUCCUCAGUGUAUAUUACCUAUGAUAUCUUAGGUAAACAGGAGAAGCGGUGAGUCUGCAUUACUCUUUCUAGAUCUUGAGGACUGAAUCCCUAGAACUGUCUCUGUCUUGUGGAACCUUCCCUGAGAGACUGUCUGCACUCCCCUCCCUGUAUGUUCCUGAAGACAUCAUUUUUUAUGCACACCAUUCUCAUUACUCUUCAAAUAUGUCAAGGUCAUUAAACACAAAGGAAAAAUGAGGAACUAUUCCGGAUUAAAGGAGACUAAAGAGACAUGACAACUAAUGCAGUGGAUGAUCCUGGAGUGGGAGAAAAAAGAGCUAUAAACGACAUCAUUGGGACCAAUGGUGAAAUCUAAAUAAGAUAGGCAGAUCAGAUAAUAGUUUUGUACCAGUGUUCAUUUCCUAAUUUUGAUAAUUGCAUUGUGAUUCUCUAAAAGAAUACUCUUGUUCUGAGGAAAUACAUUUAAUGUAUCAGGGGUGGGGCAAAAGGAAAUGAUGCUUUCAGCUUUUUCUCAAAUGGUUUGAAAAAUGCUAGUGAGUGGUGAACCUGGCUGACGGGCAUGUGGAAUUUCUUUGUAGUGUUCUGUCUGUAAGUUUGAAAUUAUAUAAAAAUAAAAAGUUACAAAAAAGGAU